rnacentral:rRNA from 1 species
GUGGGUUAGGUGCCAGACGUUCCUCGAGAGCGGUCGGUGCCGAAGGUAAGCCGUUAAGCCCACCACCUGGGAAGUACGGCUGCAAGGCUGAAACUUAAAGAAAUUGGCGGGGGAGCACCACAAGGGGUGGAGCCUGCGGUUUAAUUGGAUUCAACGCCGGACAUCUCACCGGGGGCGACGGCAGAAUGAAGGCCAAGUCGACGACUUUGCCGGACUCGCCGAGAGGUGGUGCAUGGCCGCCGUCAGCUCGUAUCGUGAGGCGUCCUGUCAAGUCAGGUAACGAGCGAGACCCUCACCCUUAGUUGCCAGCGGAUUCCUUACGGAAUGCCGGGAACUCUAGGGGGACCGCUACCGAUAAGGCAGAGGAAGGAGAGGGCGACGGUAGGUCCGUAUGCCCCGAAUCCCCCGGGCAACACGCGGGCUACAAUGCGCAGGACAGAGGGCUGCGACCCCGAAAGGGGAAGCCGAUCCCUAAACCUGUGCCUAGUUCGGAUCGAGGGCUGAAACUCGCCCUCGUGAAGCUGG